AUCAACAUGAUGAACACUAAGGGACUUAAUACUGAAAUAUGUGAUGUCACUUUCAAAUGUUCUGAUGA